rnacentral:lncRNA from 10 species
UAGAAGAGACCUCAAGUUACUGGCGACCUACCCUUACGGGUCCGUAGCAACUUCAGUCCUUGCCUCCUCAGAACAAAGAAUUUGACUGAGGGGCAUAAAGAAGAAAAAGAGAUGGAGGCAAGUUCCAGAGCAGGAAUGGAAGUUUAUUGAAAAAGGCCUCAGAACAGCAAAGAAAGGAAGAUUGUUUUGGUCAGUCUGAUUCCCUUGAUUUCCACAUGAAUAUGAGGACAAUCUUAAAAAUUUCUACUAGAAAGGCAGUUACCCUGGAUAACACUUCCAGUACAGUGCUGAAUGGAUGUGGUGAAAGUAGACAACUUUAUCUGCGUCUGUCCUUUCAUAAUUAAGACAACUAUUUAUUAAAUUGUGAAAAGAAAGCAGGGCUCAAAUCACGUUGCUCUAAUUGAAAUGGAAAGUGAAUACACCUUGUUUCAAUCCUUCCACUUUAAAAUGGCAUAAAAUAUGUAUUAACUUUCUAUUUUGGUAUUGAGAGAAUAAAUUAGAAUUUGAUGAUGCCCUUCAAAAUUAAAUAUGUGAAUUCAUAGGACAAAGUUAUGGGGCAUGAUUAGGAAAAUUCGUAAGUGAGGGAUGAAACCUGGGGUCAUUUUUCCUUCCUAGAGAUCAGAAUUAUUAAUAAAUCAUGACCUUUAUUCUGAAAGAAGGAAGGCUGGGGUGCCAGUGACUUUCCUGAAAGACACACGAAAACGUAUGCCUGCCCUGGGGACAAUGAAUAACUUCUACACAUAUAUUGGUUUGAGCCCCCUUUGUUUAGGAAUCCUGCUUGCUUGCUCUUUUUAUAUGAUGUUUUCAUAAAUAAAUUAUGAUCCCAGUUAAUGUAAAAGUAGGUUGUAAAAGGAUUUCCCUCUUGGGCCAAUAAUGUGUCCCCUCCGAAGAAUAAGAAAAAAAGUAUCAGAGUGCUUCCUUCCCCCUUUUUCUGUUGCUGGAAAUGUUUUCGAUAUGGCUGCACAAAUAAAUGCAGUAAGGUUGUGGGCACCUCCACUCUGCAAGCCUCCAUCACUUACGUAGCAAAGUUGUUUCUGGGGCAUAAGAUCCCUUUGAUGAAGGCAGCGUCUACCUUGCAGUUACACUCACAGACAGUACUUGAACAUGGUUUGACAUUGCAUUCGAUUCCUGGAAAGGGAGGUACCUCCAAGUUUGACAGGUGUUAAAACAGAGCUAUUAUUUGUAGUAACUACUUAUUAUGGGAGGUCUUGGAACAAAUCCUUUCUCUAAAUCAUCUUCUUUGGCCCCCAG